AGGACCAUCCACGUUGCUGCAAAUGGCCUUUUAUUCUUCUUUAUGGCUGAGUAGUAUUCCAUUGUAUAAAUUUACUGCAUCUUCUUUAUCCAGUCAUCUGUCUGUGGACAUUUAGGUUGCUUCCAUGCCUUGACUAUUGUAAAUAGCACUGCUAUGAAUAUUGGGGUGCACAUAUCUUUUUGAAUUAUAGUUUUUUUUUGGAUAUAUGCCCAGGAGUGGGACUGCUGGAUCAUACGGCAAGUCUAUUUUUGGUUUUUAAAGGAAUCUCCAUACUAUUUUCUAUAAUGGCUUCACCAAACUACAUUCCCACCAACAGUGUAGAACUAAUCUGUUCAUUUAAUGGAUAGUGAAACCAAGGCUCAGAGACAAACUGAACUGCCAGUGUUCACACAGCGAUAAGGAAGAGGAUUAAAGUUAGAUGAUUUUUGAGUGCUUCUCUGAUCCACUGUUCAGUGGUUCUUGUGAGCCUUGGCUUCUAAGAGUUCUCCCCCCUAGACCAUGACCAUGCUAUGAACACCAGUUACUAAAUGCUUCCAUAAUAUGGAGCUGGGCCCAGCUAUUGGUCACAACUAAGACCUGCCUAAUAUGGUACCAUUUUCCACCUACUUUGUAUUACCAGUGCUGUCCCAAGACAGUGGUUCUCUGUCUUGGCUACACAACAGAAUCUCUUCCAGGAUCUUCUUUAAAAAUUCUGGUGCUCAAAUCCUACCCCAUACCAACUGAAUCAGAAUCUCAGAGGGUGGAGCCUGAGAUUUUUUUUUCCUUAAAAAUCUUUCCAGUUAAUUCUAAUAUGUAGACAGGAUUAUUAAACAUGGUUCUAAAUCUGCUAAGUUUGGCUCAAGUCAUGACUAAGGAUAAUAUUAAGUCUACCUUCUCCUCUCUCCUGUCUCCAGUCAACACCACUGCACUGUCUGUCCUCCCUACUUCCUGGUUGAUCAGGUAUUCACUCAUUUAGGAUAAGAGAUGCCCAAGAGAUAGAAACUGGAUUUAUGUUCUAAACCCAUCUUUCAGAUGGGGAAAACUCAGCCUGAAGAUAUUACCAAAAAAAAAAAAAUCUCAAUACAACAGUGGCUUAGUCAUGAACAAAUCUGAAGAGUUUAAGACUUCCUUAAUCUAUGGGGUCACUCUCAGCCUACUUUAAGGGCGGACUCUAUACACAGGCAAAGAAGACUCAUAGAAGAUUGAGGAAUGUCCACCAGGAGCCUUUGGGAUAUGAACCACAAGUGUGACCCUACUGAGAGACAUCCAUGAAGCCUCCCACCAUCAGUAACACCGUCUUUAUAGCAUAUGAGGAAAUCAAAGUUUCGAUGCAGCAGGGCUGGGAACUAAAGCAAGUCUGUCCAAUCUGCUCAGUGCUGUAUUGGCCUUGCCCUCGUGUAGAGAAGGACUGAAAUGCAGAAAGUGAUCUCUAAAUAAUGGUGGAUUAAAAUAAAAUUUCCCAGGAAAAAAAUCA